rnacentral:rRNA from 1 species
AUACGAAGGGGGCUAGCGUUGUUCGGAAUUACUGGGCGUAAAGCGCGCGUAGGCGGACUGAUCAGUUGGGGGUGAAAUCCCAGGGCUUAACCCUGGAACUGCCUCCAAUACUGUCAGUCUUGAGUUCGGGAGAGGUGAGUGGAAUUCCUAGUGUAGAGGUGAAAUUCGUAGAUAUUAGGAAGAACACCAGUGGCGAAGGCGGCUCUCUGGCUCGAUACUGACGCUGAGGUGCGAAAGCGUGGGGAGCAAACAGGAUUAGAAACCCUAGUAGUCC